UACAGAGGGUGCAAGCGUUAAUCGGAAUUACUGGGCGUAAAGCGUGCGUAGACGGUUAUGUAAGUCAGAUGUGAAAGCCCAGGGCUCAACCUUGGAAUUGCAUUUGAGACUGCAUAGCUAGGGUGCGGAAGAGGGAAGCGGAAUUCCCGGUGUAGUGGUGAAAUGCGUAGAUAUCGAGAGGAACACCGGUGGCGAAGGCGGCCAACUGGACGAAUACUGACGCUGAGACUCGAAAGCGUGGGGAGCAAACAGG
rnacentral:rRNA from 1 species